rnacentral:piRNA from 1 species
UGAUUGUCAAUAGAUACCAGUGUUUGCUUU